rnacentral:rRNA from 1 species
UUCGCCGCGUGAGGGAUGAAGGCCUCUGGGCUGUAAACCUCUUUUAUCAAGGAAGAAGAUCNACGGUACUUGAUGAAUAAGCCACGGCUAAUUCCGUGCCAGCAGCCGCGGUAAUACGGGAGUGGCAAGCGUUAUCCGGAAUUAUUGGGCGUAAAGCGUCCGCAGGCGGUCUUGUAAGUCUGUCGUUAAAGCGUGGAGCUUAACUCCAUUUGAGCGAUGGAAACUGCAAGACUAGAGUGUGGUAGGGGCAGAGGGAAUUCCCGGUGUAGCGGUGAAAUGCGUAGAUAUCGGGAAGAACACCAGUGGCGAAGGCGCUCUGCUGGGCCAUAACUGACGCUCAUGGACGAAAGCCAGGGGAGCGAAAGGGAUUAGAUACCCCUGUAGUCCUGGCCGUAAACGAUGAACACUAGGUGUCGGGGGAAUCGACCCCCUCGGUGUCGUAGCCAACGCGUUAAGUGUUCCGCCUGGGGAGUACGCACGCAAGUGUGAAACUCAAAGGAAUUGACGGGGGCCCGCACAAGCGGUGGAGUAUGUGGUUUAAUUCGAUGCGACGCGAAGAACCUUACCUACCCUUGACAUCCAGAGAAUCUGUUAGAGAUAGUAGAGUGC